rnacentral:misc_RNA from 1 species
GAUGAAGAACGCAGCGAAAUGCGAUAAGUAAUGUGAAUUGCAGAAUUCAGUGAAUCAUCGAAUCUUUGAACGCACAUUGCGCCCACUGGUAUUCCGGGGGGCAUGCCUGUCCGAGCGUCAUUACAACCCUCAAGCUCAGCUUGGUGUUGGGCCCCGCCGCCCCGGCGGGCCCUAAAGUCAGUGGCGGUGCCGUCCGGCUCCGAGCGUAGUAAUUCUUCUCGCUCUGGAGGUCCGGUCGUGUGCUCGCCAGCAACCCCCAAUUUUUUUCAGGUUGACCUCGGAUCAGGUAGGGAUACCCGCUGAACUUAAGCAUAUCAAUAGCGGAGGA